GAUCCUGGCUCAGGACGAACGCUGGCGGCGUGCCUAACACAUGCAAGUCGAACGGAGUUAAAUUCGACACCCGAGUAUCCGGCCGGGAGGCAGGGUACUGGGGGUUGGAUUUAACUUAGUGGCGGACGGGUGAGUAACGCGUGAGUAACCUGCCUUUCAGAGGGGGAUAACAUUCUGAAAAGAACGCUAAUACCGCAUAACAUCAAAUUAUCGCAUGAUAGAUUGAUCAAAGGAGCAAU
rnacentral:rRNA from 1 species